GGCACGGUGGCGAAGUGGUAACGCGGCGGUCUGCAAAACCGAUAUGCGCGGGUUCGAUUCCCGCCCGUGCCU
rnacentral:tRNA from 1 species